GAUGAACGCUGGCGGCGUGCCUAACACAUGCAAGUCGAACGGGGUGAUUUUCUUCGGAGGAUCACUUAGUGGCGGACGGGUGAGUAACGCGUGAGCAACCUUUCUCUCAGUGGGGAAUAACACAGCGAAAGUUGUACUAAUACCGCAUGAGACCACAGCACCGCAUGGUGCAGGGGUCAAAGAUUUAUCGCUGAGAGGUGGGCUCGCGUCUGAUUAGAUAGUUGGUGGGGUAACGGCCUACCAAGUCGACGAUCAGUAGCCGACCUGAGAGGGUGAUCGGCCACAUUGGGACUGAGACACGGCCCAA
rnacentral:rRNA from 1 species